rnacentral:sRNA from 12 species
CCCAGCCAGUAAAUGGUUGGGCCACAUGCCAGUUGCUUAAUACUUUCUUAUGAAAGUUAUAAAAUUCAACUGCGACAACUGGUAAUUUUCGAAAGAGAAUGAACGUAUGAAGCAGUGGUGGCGCACUAACUUAGUGUAUCGAGCAAAUGGCUACAACCG